GGUGCUCGGCAUCACUACCAAGCUGCAGGGCCCCGGAGCACACCUGGGGUGGUGAGGCUCAGCAGGGUCCAGGCUGAAGGCCCUGGAGGACCUGACAAAGUGCAGUUGCCACCGGCUCCUCCCCCUCGGAGCUCUGAGUGAGCCCAGCGUGGGCUGCGUUUCCAACUUGUUCCCUGUCAAUCCUCAGCAGGGUGGUCAGCAUCUGUGCCUCUGGAUCACGUGGGAACGAGCAAGACAGCUUAAAAUACCUGAGUGUCCACCUCCCGGCGUGAAUUCUAACUCAGCGGUGGACCCUGGUACCGUUGGGUUUGGAAUUUGUCCAGCAACUGCUCUGAAGCCUGGUUGACCACUACUCCCUGGAUUGGGGUCUUCCCUGUCCCAACUCCUGUCCCUGCAGGGCAUAGGGCCCUCCCUAUGGAGGCAUCAGAGGCCUCACGAGGUCCACUGUCUGGAGUAAGAAAGUGCUUGGGCUGCAUAAGGCCAUUCUGGGUGGACAACGGCUACC
rnacentral:lncRNA from 1 species